GACGGGUGAGUAAUGUCGUGGGAAACUGCCUGAUGGGGGGGGAUAACUACUGGAAACGGUAGCUAAUACCGCAUAACGUCGCAAGACCAAAGAGGGGGACCUUCGGGCCUCUUGCCAUCAGAUGUGCCCAGAUGGGAUUAGCUAGUAGGUGGGGUAACGGCUCACCUAGGCGACAAUCCCUAGCUGGUCUGAGAGGAUGACCAGCCACACUGGAACUGAGACACGGUCCAGACUCCUACGGGAGGCAGCAUG
rnacentral:rRNA from 1 species